CGAUCAGUACGCGGAAUCGUCGAGAAAAAAAAAUCGAGUCCGAGAAAUCCUCGGUCCGGGCUUGGAAUCAUCGAGAAAAAUCUAUCGCUAACGAGAAAUCGUCGAUCUGCACGCGGAAUCGUCGAUCAGAACAUGCGUCAGUACGAUCAGUACGUGUAUCAGUACGUACGGAUGGCCGAGAAAAAACUUCAAUCGAUUUAGGGUUUCUCAGUUUUUUUGGGACCAGUACGGAGAAAAUUGCAGAAAAACUGGGCUGGGGCUUGGUGGAAACGAUUUGCCUCUUUUAUGCAUUUCUUCUACUGUUCGAGCUAAUUAAAUAUGGUUUUUUUUUUCUACGAUUUCAGAACCUGCAACUUUUGGAUGCAAUUCUCCUCUCCUUAUGUAAACGUUUAUUGCUUCUUCUCUUAGUUCCUAUGCCAAUUAAUUCUGGGUAACUGUAAUUGCGGAGAACAAAACUCUAAAAGAACAAAUCACGGCUUAAAUUUCGUGGUUAUUAAAUAACCUAUGAGCUUACAACGCUCUAAUGCCAUCUGAUUUCUAUAUGCUAAGCAUGCUCAAGACAGUAGUGAACAGUACUACAAAAACAGUUUGGCUCCAUUAACGUCAAUAAUAAACAUGCCAACGAAUUUUUGGUGCUCCUAAUAUUUGAGAUUUGUAUCAUUUACCAAAAACUCAAGAGGUGUAUAUCUCUAGCUCCCUCUGUACAAUAAGAUUUGUAUCAUCUACAUAAAAAUUUUUGGGGAGGAUAUAGGUCUUCAUAAUUUAGUUGAGUCAAAGCGUCAACUAGAUAGUACUAUGCGUUUUUUUGCUGGAUAGAGGAAUGAGAUAAGAGAUAGAGAUUAUAGCUUUACGGAAAUAUCUCUAUGUUUUUUUUGUCAUGAAUCCAGCUCUGAUGGCAAAAAUUUAAGCUAUUCAUGGGAGUCUGAAGUCUUUACCUUUUACGAGAAUAUGCACUUGCAUCACUUGGUCAGAUUGGAUCAAGUAUGUAUCGAGUCUUUAAUUGAAAAUGGGGUUUAAUCAAGUAAGUAAACAUUAAUAUAUCUAAUAUAUCUACACACAUUCUCACUGAGUGUUUAUAUGUAUUUGGGGUGAGUUCACGUUUCCACAGAUGUUGAGAUGCUACCACCUCACACCUCAUCUGUGAUAGUACAACCAUCAUGUCAUGUGUCCCUCCCACAUUUUUUUGUUUGGAAACAAAAUAGGCCUACUUUAAAGGGUUUAAAUCAUAAGUUUGUUUACUUGGGAUUAGACUAUUCACGUAAGUGGUUUCCAUUCCAUGUGAUUGUACCAUAAUUGGUGCAUCUGGAAAUUCUUUCCCAUAUCUAUUAUUUAUCUAUUUAUUUAUCUCACGAUUUUCAUAUAUGUAGAGACAUAAUAAGUCUCUCUUUUUUUUUCUCCCUGGAUAGAGUAAUGUAAUAUGAGAGAGAGAUUAUAGCUUUUCGGAAAUACUGUAGCUGGCUGAGAUCCACUUUAUCUUGAAUCCAGGUGUGAAGAUGAUGAU